rnacentral:rRNA from 1 species
UACGUAGGGGGCAAGCGUUGUCCGGAUUUAUUGGGCGUAAAGAGCGUGUAGGCGGCCACACAGGUCCGCUGUGAAAACUCGAGGCUCAACCUCGAGCUGUCGGUGGAAACCGUGUGGCUAGAGUCCGGAAGAGGAGAGUGGAAUUCCCGGUGUAGCGGUGAAACGCGCAGAUAUCGGGAAGAACACCCGUGGCGAAGGCGGCUCUCUGGGACGGUACUGACGCUGAGACGCGAAAGCGUGGGGAGCGAACAGG